AACUGCCGUUGACAAAACGGAGGAAGGUGGGGAUGACGUCAAAUCAUCAUGCCCUUUAUGUCCUGGGCUACACACGUGCUACAAUGGCCUGUACAGAGGGAAGCGAAAGGGUGACCUGGAGCGAAUCCCAAAAAGCAGGUCUCAGUUCGGAUUGCAGGCUGCAACCCGCCUGCAUGAAGUCGGAAUCGCUAGUAAUCGCAGGUCAGCAUACUGUGGUGAAUACGUUCCCGGGCCUU
rnacentral:rRNA from 1 species